rnacentral:rRNA from 1 species
GGCUAAUCUGCCCUUGGGACGAGAACAACCCCGGGAAACUGGGGCUAAUUCUCGAUAGGCGAAGAACUCUGGAAUGAGUCUUCACCCAAACGGUUUAGGGUUAUGCUCUCUGAAUCGCCCAAGGAUGAGGCCGCGACCGAUCAGGUUGUUGGUGAGGUAAUGGCUCACCAAGCCUUUUACCGGUGCGGGCCGUGAGAGCGGGAGCCCGGAGAUGGGCACUGAGACAAGGGCCCAGGCCCUACGGGGCGCAGCAGUCGCGAAAACUUUGCAAUAAGCGAAAGCUUGACAGGGCUAUCCCGAGUGCCAUCCGCUGAGGAAGGCUUUUACCCAGUCUAGAACGCUGGGGGAAUAAGGAGAGGGCAAGUCUGGUGUCAGCCGCCGCGGUAAUACCAGCUCUUCGAGUGGUGUGGACGUUUAUUGGGCCUAAAGCAUCCGUAGCUGGCUAAGUUAGUCCCUUGUUAAAUCCACCGAAUUAAUCGUUGGAUUGCGAGGGAUACUGCUUGGCUAGGGGACGAGAGAGGCAGACGGUAUUUUCGGGGUAGGGGUGAAAUCCUAUAAUCCCGGGAAGACCACCAGUGGCGAAGGCUGUCUGCUAGAACGCGCCCGACGGUGAGGGAUGAAAGCUGGGGGAGCGAACCGGAUUAGAUACCCGGGUAGUCCCAGCUGUAAACGAUGCAGGCUAGGUGUUUGGACGGCCACGUGCCGUUCUAGUGCCGCAGGGAAGCUGUUAAGCCUGCCGCCUGGGGAGUACGAUCGCAAGAUUGAAACUUAA